CCGUAGGUGAACCUGCGGAAGGAUCAUUGUCGAAACCUGCCCAGCAGAACGACCCGCGAACACGUGGGGGGUGCUGCCUCCCCCCCGGCACAAAAACGAACCCCGGCGCGAAGAGCGCCAAGGAACAUAAACUCACAGCGUGAGCCAUGUGCCCGGUUAGCCGGUGCACGGGUGCGGUGCCAUGCACAACAAUAAACGACUCUCGGCAACGGAUAUCUCGGCUCUCGCAUCGAUGAAGAACGUAGCGAAAUGCGAUACUUGGUGUGAAUUGCAGAAUCCCGUGAACCAUCGAGUCUUUGAACGCAAGUUGCGCCCGAAGCUUUUGGCUGAGGGCACGUCUGCCUGGGCGUCACGCAUCGCGUCUCCCCCACACCCACCUCGAGUGGAGGGGAAGGAAGAUGGCCUCCCGAGCCUCACCGGGCACGGCUGGCCUAAAUCGGGAGCCCUCGGCGUCGAGCUGCCGCGGCGAUUGGUGGUCGUCGCGCAGCGCGGCCCCCUUGGAGCUCGCAGGACCCUCGAUGUUGCCUUGUGGCGACCCUAACCGUUGCGACCCCAGGUCAGGCGGGGCUACCCGCU
rnacentral:rRNA from 1 species